rnacentral:lncRNA from 1 species
UGAGUUCGUGGAUCACAGGGAACAUUUGUUUCCAUGGGUGUGUACUCUGAUGGUUCAUACGGUGUGCCUGCUGGUCUUAUCUACUCCUUCCCAGUAACGUGCAGUGGUGGUGAAUGGACAAUUGUUCAAGGUGGGUGUCCAUGCAACACUCUUACCGCAUGGCAGUUUUUUUGGUUCAUAUAUUCUUCCCAUGCUUCUACUUGUCCGUCAUGCACAUGUGUGACCACAUUAAUUUGUAGCCACUUGCCUAAUAUUUAUUGUAUGUCAUCUUGCAGGGCUCCCGAUCGAUGAGUUCUCGAGGAAGAAGAUGGAUGCCACCGCCCAGGAGCUGUCGGAGGAGAAGGCGCUGGCCUACUCAUGCCUCGCGUAAAUCCACAUUCGAAGGGCAGCUGCUCCUCUGAUGUUUUGAAUAAAUGAAACCUUCCGCUCCUUAGAAACUCUCGUCUCCACCCAGAACAGCCGCACAUCGCGAUGCAUGCUCCUUUUCGCUGGUUUUCCCAGUGUGUAUGAAUGAGGCUUGUAGCUCCCCUUUUGCCUGAUGAUUUACAGGACAGUACAUUUGCUGGAAGGAUGAAACAAUUUGACACCUGAUUAGAAUCAACUUGUUUUUCUCUUAGAGCAUCUACAACAAGUCAC